GAAAACAGAAUCCAGUUUCGGUUAUCUUGUCGCCAUUGCUGAAAGUACAAUGUUCUCGCGCGCCGAACGGUAAGUAAAGUUGAAUCGUACUCACCGGACCGGAGUUCUCCAUCUCUUAAUCUCCUCUUCGAGUCGCGCGCGCCGGCCCAAGCAAGAAGAGAUGCAUCUUCUUAUUCUCAGACCAAGUAAGCUUUGGAAUCGUGUUCAAGAGAAGCGUUGCGUAAGGUCUCUUGAAUUUUGAAGGAUGCAUUUGACCUUGGUAUGAAGAUUUUGUUAAUGUAAAGGAUAUGUAGUUUUACUUCUUUGGUUUGUGCAUAUGGACUGAAGUGUAGCAUUUACGAUUGAACUAGCUAAAAUGGUGUGGAGCGGUCAAUCAGAGUUGGCCGUUUUCCGACCAAAUCUAUCCAACCUAUUUGUUUUUUAACA